rnacentral:sRNA from 1 species
UAUUCUGCCCCAUGGGGAAGGAUGAGAAGCUUCGACUAAGGUUCGACUCGAGCGCAGCGAGAGAACGUUGCCGCAGAGGCAACGGCCCGAAGGGCGAGGCGCUUUAGCGCCGAGUAAUCCUUCCCCCACCACCA